GACGAACGCUGGCGGCGUGCUUAACACAUGCAAGUCGAACGAUGAUCUCCCGCUUGCGGGGGUGAUUAGUGGCGAACGGGUGAGUAGUACGUGAGUAACCUGCCCUUGACUCUGGGAUAAGCCUGGGAAACCGGGUCUAAUACUGGAUACUACUUCCUGCCGCAUGGUGGGGGGUGGAAAGGGUUUUACUGGUUUUGGAUGGGCUCACGGCCUAUCAGCUUGUUGGUGGAGUAAUGGCUCACCAAGGCGACGACGGGUAGCCGGCCUGAGAGGGUGACCGGCCACACUGGGACUGAGACACGGCCCAGACUCCUACGGGAGGCAGCAGUGGGGAAUAUUGCACAAUGGGCGGAAGCCUGAUGCAGCGACGCCGCGUGAGGGAUGACGGCCUUCGGGUUGUAAGCCUCUUUCAGCAGGGAAGAAGCCACAAGUGACGGUACCUGCAGAAGAAGCGCCGGCUAACUACGUG
rnacentral:rRNA from 1 species